rnacentral:lncRNA from 1 species
UUUGUGCUAAUGUUUUCAGGGUUUGACUUGUGAUAGCUUAAAUGAAAGCCGAGGAACAUGGAGCGCUGCCACCAGCUGUUUGUUACACCUCCUCGACACACAGCUGAGUACCGGGCACAUCUGGAGCAGUCGCCGCUGUAGCACUUGAGGGGUUGCUUCGAAGCACUCUUGGUCAUGCUUGCUGGUUGAAGUGGGGACGCAGCAGCCUCACUGAAGUAGAGAUGCCAUCACAAUCAGGUGUUGACGACAGCCCAGUUCCAUCCAGCCUUGACUUGGUGACCAGGGAGAAGUCUUCUGGACUCAACCUAGUGACUGUCCUGGGUAUCUGGGGUGGAGAGGCACUUUCAGACUCUUCCGAUUCAAGGGGUUGGAAAAAGUUGGAAUGCACGCAACCCUCUCCGAGAAUGGGGAUCGAUUUAGUGUCCUAUCGUGCAAAAAUUGGAACUUUCACUCAACCAAAUAAAUGCAACAGGUCCGUAAAUGGUUUCCAACUCCUGGAAGAAACGUUUCAAGGACUAUGCGUCUCCUGUUGCUGCUACUGACAUUGCUGACCCGCGUGU